AAUUGUUUAAAUUAAUUAUUAUUUUAACUCUUCCCUUGUUUUCUCAAAGGCUUUUUUGGGGGUUUAGCUCAGUUGGUUUAGAGCAUCGGCUUUGCAAGCCGGGGGUCAAGGGUUCGAGUCCCUUAACCUCACCAUUUAUUUAUUGUUAAAUAGGUAUGCAGCCUUUUAAGAAAUGGCUUUGUUUUAUAUUGAGUGAAUGAAUUUUUCAUGGCUUUAAAAGAUGUGUUUUUAUGUUGUUUGUUGUCUUGAUGAAUUUGCUUUUUAUGAAUUCCAAAACUUGA
rnacentral:tRNA from 1 species